UACGUAGGGUCCGAGCGUUGUCCGGAAUUACUGGGCGUAAAGAGCUCGUAGGCGGCCUGUUAAGUCGAACGUGAAAUCCCCGGGCUCAACUCGGGAACUGCGUCCGAUACUGGCAGGCUUGAAUCCGGGAGAGGGAUGCGGAAUUCCAGGUGUAGCGGUGAAAUGCGUAGAUAUCUGGAGGAACACCGGUGGCGAAGGCGGCAUCCUGGACCGGCAUUGACGCUGAGGCGCGAAAGCCAGGGGAGCAAAGCGGG
rnacentral:rRNA from 1 species